ACAUACACUGAAAGAAAACUCCUGUCCUUUAUUGAAUGAUUCAUAAUUCACUCGGCUGCAAACCUGAAUAUUCCCUAUUUUGAAUGAAAAUAUAAGAGUAUGAUGCAUCUACUAACUAUUGAACAAAAAUCAUCCAAUUCUACGAUGACUUUUAGUACACAUCUGUAUGAAAAUAACUAGAUAAUUGAAUUAAGGUGACACAAAUGAAAAACAUACAACUUUUGAUGGAUUUUAUCUUAUCCUAUGUACCAAAACAAAAAUCAUUCAAUUAUCGUCUGAGUUGUCGUGUGGAAAGAUAAUGAUCGUAGAUGUCAAAUUAUCUUUGUAAACAAUAAACAAAUAUGGCUUCAGCAACGUGGCUUUGGGUAUUUCUUCGUGUAUUUCAUAGAAUACCAACAACAACAACGUGUUCUACCCUGUGAUGUUGGUGCACAAAUCAUGGAUCACGACAUGUUUACUGCGGACCACGCUUUGAGGAGGAGACACCAGUUCCUGCAAAUCUGAAAUUGCAAUGCACAUGGGAAUACUUCUGAUAUUGAUUAAUAAAAAACUAAACUAUCAUGAUGCUUAAAUGCACGCAUGUAGUUAAGCAUACAAAACCAUUAUUUUUUGGAAAUUGUUUACUUUCAACUUUAAUUUC
rnacentral:lncRNA from 1 species